rnacentral:rRNA from 1 species
CACGGGGGGAGCAAGCGUUGUUCGGAAUUACUGGGCGUAAAGCGCGUGUAGGCGGCUUUGCAAGUCGGGCGUGAAAUCCCAUGGCUCAACCAUGGAAGUGCACUCGAAACUGCAGAGCUAGAGUCCUGGAGAGGAAGGUGGAAUGCUUGGUGUAGAGGUGAAAUUCGUAGAUAUCAAGCGGAACACCGGUGGCGAAGGCGGCCUUCUGGACAGUGACUGACGCUGAGACGCGAAAGCGUGGGGAGCAAACAGG